CCUACUUACUCAGAACUGUGCAGGUGUCAAGGCACAGGCUGAGUCACCAGAACACCUUCCCUGAAUUGUGUCAAACAAGUGUACAUGUGCUCAAGUGUAUCUGGAUUCUGAUUUGGCUGCACAGUCACUGUUUUCCAGAUGUUUGCAGAAGAAAUAUGAGCUGGAGGAGACUCACUGAAAGCUGGAACUAGAAGGAUGCACACUGCUCAUCCAAGCCAAUUCACUUAUUUUACCAAUGAUAAAACUGAGUCUCAGAGAAGUCAUACGCUUGCCCAAAGACACAGCUUGUGGUGGAGGAGUCAACACCAGAACUCUGGUCCAGGACUGCAAAAAAACACUUAACAUGUGCUAAUAAUGAGGAUAAAAGAUACUUCAAAUUCUGGGAGUUCUAUAAUGUUUGAGUACAUAUACCAUUGAAUCCUUUUAAUAACCCAUCGCUUACACAGAUGAGGAAACUGAGGCUCAUAGAAAUAAAGUGCUUUGCCCAAAGGCACAAAACUGGUCAGUAAUAAAU
rnacentral:lncRNA from 1 species